rnacentral:rRNA from 1 species
UGGGGAAUCUUGCACAAUGGGCGAAAGCCUGAUGCAGCGACGCCGCGUUCGGGAUGAAGGCCUUCGGGUUGUAAACCGCUUUCAGCAGGGACGAGGCCGCAAGGUGACGGUACCUGCAGAAGAAGCCCCGGCUAACUACGUGCCAGCAGCCGCGGUAAUACGUAGGGGGCAAGCGUUAUCCGGAUUCAUUGGGCGUAAAGCGCGCGUAGGCGGUCUGUUAGGUCAGGAGUCAAAUCUGGGGGCUCAACCCCUAUCCGCUCCUGAUACCGGCAGGCUUGAGUCUGGUAUGGGAAGGUGGAAUUCCAAGUGUAGCGGUGAAAUGCGCAGAUAUUUGGAAGAACACCAGUGGCGAAGGCGGCCUUCUGGGCCAUGACUGACGCUGAGGCGCGAAAGCUAGGGGAGCGAACAGG